CACGAAUCAGAAUUUUUAAGAAAACAUAUCGGGAGAAAAACAUAGAAACUAGAAAUGAAUUGUUAACAGGCAACACAGAAGUAGUCAGUGCUGCAAGAGCCCAUGCCCACUUAUCUACAUAUUAACAACAUGAUCUCAUCCACAAGUUCUGGGCUUCUACUCCAAAAGAUGCAUCGCAGGCGCUCUGCCCCCACCAAAGGAUGCCACAUACAAAUGCCUCACAUAUUCUCUCCAAAAACCCACGUCAAUUAAAACUACGUGCCACAACCUAUUUUAUAGUAGUAACCAUUAAGUCAAAUUGCAACCAGCCUUUUUCCCUGCAGCUAAAAGAAAAUCCCUUUGAUCACAAAGACAGGAGGCCGCUACCUAUUCUCAACCAAAC
rnacentral:lncRNA from 1 species